rnacentral:rRNA from 1 species
AUGCCGAUGAUGGGCAGCGCGAGGAUGAUCCCCGGGCAGCUCCUCCGGCCGACACCGAAUGGCACGAACCGGAAGUCGUUACCGUUGGCUUCGACGGCCCUCUCCUCCUCGAGGAACCGCUCUGGACGGAACUCGUCGGCGCGCACCCACCGCUUGGGAUCGUUGGCGAGGAACCAGGCGUUGACGAGGAUCUUGGACUCGGCGGGGAUGUCGUAG